rnacentral:rRNA from 1 species
CCUACGGGGGGCAGCAGUGGGGGAUAUUGCACAAUGGGGGAAACCCUGAUGCAGCGACGCCGCGUGUGGGAAGACGGUCCUCUGGAUUGUAAACCACUGUCCCCAGGGACGAAGAUGACGGUACCUGGGGAGGAAGCUCCGGCUAACUACGUGCCAGCAGCCGCGGUAAUACUUAGGGAGCGAGCGUUGUCCGGAAUUACUGGGUGUAAAGGGAGCGUAGGCGGGGAUGCAAGUUGGGUGUCAAAACUACCGGCUCAACUGGUAGUCGCACUCAAAACUGCAGCUCUUGAGUGAAGUAGAGGCAGGGGGAAUUCCGAGUGUAGCGGGGAAAUGCGUAGAUAUUAGGAGGAACACCAGUGGCGAAGGCGGCCUGCGGGGCUUUUACGGACGCUGAGGCUCGAAAGUGUGGGGAGCAAACAGGAUGAGAUACCCUUGUAGUC